rnacentral:rRNA from 1 species
AGCGAACGCUAGCGGCGGGCUUAACACAUGCAAGUCGAGCGAACCCUUCGGGGUGAGCGGCGAACGGGUGAGUAACACGUAGAUCACGUACCUUUUGGAGGGGGAUAGCCCGGGGAAACCCGGAUUAAUACCGCAUAUGUCGAAAGAUAAAAGCAGCAAUGCGCCAGAAGAUCGGUCUGCGGCCCAUUAUUUAAUCCUAGUUGGUGAGGUAACGGCUCACCAAGGGUACGAUGGGUAGCUGGUCUGAGAGGACGAUCAGCCACACUGGGACUGAGACACGGCCCAG